rnacentral:rRNA from 1 species
GCCUAACACAUGCAAGUCGGACGUUCCGCAAGGGACGUGGCGCACGGGUGAGUAACACGUAGCUAACCUGCCCCGAAGAGUGGGAUAACCCUGCGAAAGCAGGGCUAAGACCGCAUAAGCUCGCGAUGUGUAGAGGAUUGCGAGAAAAGAACUUCGGUUGCUUCGGGAGGGGGCUGCGACCCAUCAGGUAGAUGGUGCGGUAACGGCGUACCAUGCCAACGACGGGUAGGGGACCUGAGUGGGUGAACCCCCACACUGGGACUGAGACACGGCCCAGACUCCUACGGGAGGCAGCAGUGAGGGAUAUUGCACAAUGGGCGCAAGCCUGAUGCAGCGACGCCGCGUGGGUGAUGACGGUCUUCGGAUUGUAAAACCCUUUUCUGGUUGACGAGCAAGGACGGUAGACCAGGAAGAAGUGUCGGCUAACUACGUGCCAGCAGCCGCGGUAAAACGUAGGACACGAGCGUUAUCCGGAGUUACUGGGCGUAAAGGGCGUGCAGGCGGCAUGGUAAGUCUGAUGUGAAAGCUCCCGGCUCAACCGGGAGAGGACAUUGGAGACUGCCAAGCUCGAGGCAGAUAGAGGGCUGUAGAAUUCCGGGUGUAGUGGUGAAAUGCGUAGAGAUCCGGAGGAAUACCAGAGGCGAAGGCGGCAGCCUGGGUCUGACCUGACGCUGAGACGCGACAGCAUGGGGAGCGAACGGGAUUAGAAACCCCGGUAGUCCAUGCCGUAAACGAUGUGUACUGGGUGUUCACCUUCGCAAGGAGGGGAGCGCCUCAGCUAACGCGCUAAGUACACCGCCUGGGGAGUACGGUCGCAAGGCUAAAACUCAAGGGAAUUGACGGGGGCCCGCACAAGCAGCGGAGCGUGUGGUUUAAUUCGAGGCUACACGAAGAACCUUACCUAGGUUGGACAUUCAAGUGGUAGCGACCUGAAAGGGAAGCGACCUUCGGGAGCUUGGACAGGUGCUGCAUGGCUGUCGUCAGCUCGUGUCGUGAGAUGUUCGGUUAAGUCCGAAAACGAGCGCAACCCCUAUUGUGCGUUACACGUGUCGCACGAGACUGCCCGUGACAAACGGGAGGAAGGUGGGGAUGACGUCAAGUCAGCAUGGCCUUUAUAUCUAGGGCUACACACACGCUACAAUGGUCGGUACAACGGGACGCGAAACCGCGAGGGGGAGCCAAUCCCACAAAGCCGAUCGUAGUUCGGAUUGCAGGCUGCAACUCGCCUGCAUGAAGCUGGAGUUGCUAGUAACCGCGCGUCAGCCAUAGUGCGGUGAAUACGUUCCCGGGCCUUGUACACACCGCCCGUCACGUCAUGGGAGCUGGUCACGCCUGAAGUCGGUGGGUGAACCGCAAGGACACCGCUGCCGAGGGCAGGGCUGGUGACUGGGACGAAGUCGUAACAAGGUAGCUGUAGCGGAAGCUGCGGCUGGAUCACCUCCUUA